CAAGGCCAGCAAAUACAAAAAUAAACAUCAUAAAGGUAAAUUGAAGUGCACCUCACAUAACAUUCCAGAUGAAAAAUAUAACGGCAGGGUAACAUACAUUGGNNNNNNNNNNCUUUUUGAGGAAUAUACGUCUUGAAUUAUUGAUCCAACUACACAGUCCCGAGGCUUGAAAUCCUUGUAGAAGCACAAAUAAAGUUCCUGUACAGCACCUUCUGAGCAAACCAGUGAUGGGGUUGCAUGGAAAGCAUUCUCAAUGGCAGAGACAAGACCUCCAAGAGGAUAUUUUUCAGUAUUUGAAGGAAUAUAUCCCGCUUCAUUCAGUACUUUCGUGACAUUAUACUUAAAGUAUACAUUAAGGGCUGUUACAAAAUAACUGUAUUCGUCUUGGACAACUGGAGAGGAGCAAGUCCCAUGCUUCUCCCACUCAUGUGCCCAAAAUGAUCCUUUUGUACCAUGACAAGUUGACGAUGAACCACAACUUAAUGAUGGCCAAUACUUCUUUAGACCAUCAAGCAAUGUUGAGAUCUCUUUUUCUUCAAAAUCCGAUCGCCUGCAACAGGCAGGCCAGGUUCCAUCGUUAUAGUCAGGCCACAGCCCAUGGAUUGUAAAUUCAGUUGGAGCAUUUGAACCUCGGCAGCAAGCAUUAGAGGAGCAGCAAUGGCGAGUGUGCUGGCAGUAAGUGCCAGGCCAUUGCAGAGCCAACUUGAAAUAAUCGAACUCUCUUUGUCGUGGUCUCGGCGAACCUCAUCAACCAUGCAAAACGAAACCAUUAGGAGGAGGAGGAAAGCAAGCUGAAGAUGAAGUAGUGUUGAUUUGACAGAGAGAGACGCCAUUGAUUGAAGAAGUG
rnacentral:misc_RNA from 1 species